CUCAUAUGACUAGCUACUGAAUCAAUCCAAAACAUAUUAAAAAAUAUUUGGUUGAUAAUGUAAGAGUAAAAUAAUGAUAUCAUCUUACGCUUAGUGCCGUCUAAAGCUGGUGCCAGAAGACUCGGUAAGGCCAGAGGCGCGAACGUUAGUCAUCUUUAUCAGGCGUAAAGGGUUUGUAGGCUGCUUUAAAAUUUUUAUAAAUUAAUUAUUUAAUGAUAAUAUAAAUAAAAUUGAAUUAAAGCUAGAAUCUAAUAGAGGUUAAUUGAAUAAUGCUUAGUUUAGGGCUAAUAUCCACAUAGAUUAAGUAGAAUAUUAAAGGCGAAGGCUUCUCUCCAAGUAAAGAUUGACGCUGAGACACGAAGGUGAGGAAAGGAAAUAGGAUUAGAUACCCAAAUUACCCCUCACUGUCAACGAUGAAUGGUAGUCAUUAGUGUUUAUUAGUGGCGUAGUUAAGGCAAUUACCAUUCCGCCUUGUUAGUAAGACUGCAAAGUUAAAACCAAAAAAAUUAGUCGGUUUCGAAGCAAACGAAGUGAAGCAUGUUAUUUAAUGA
rnacentral:rRNA from 1 species